UACGAAGGGAGCUAGCGUUGUUCGGAAUCACUGGGCGUAAAGCGCACGUAGGCGGAUGUGUCAGUCAGGGGUGAAAUCCCGGAGCUCAACUUCGGAACUGCCUUUGAUACAGCACGUCUUGAGUCCGAUAGAGGUGGGUGGAAUUCCUAGUGUAGAGGUGAAAUUCGUAGAUAUUGGGAAGAACACCAGUGGCGAAGGCGGCUCACUGGCACGUAACUGACGCUGAGGUGCGAAAGCGUGGGGAGCAAACAGG
rnacentral:rRNA from 1 species